GAUGAACGCUGGCGGCGUGCCUAAUACAUGCAAGUCGAACGGACAGAUUCCGGUCGUUCACCACUGGGAAUGGCUAGUGGCGGACGGGUGAGAAAUGCGUGGGCUAUCUGCCACUCAGUCCUGGAUAACAGAGACCAAGUUCUGUUCAGACUGAUUACUUUAUCCUCGCCGCUUGGUUGUUAAAGGAAAUGUAACUCUUACGGAUGAGUCCGUGUCCCAUUAGCUAGUUGGUUAGGUAACGGCCUACCAAGGCAACGAUGGGUAGCCGGCCUGAGAGGGUGGACGGCCACACUGGGACUGAGACACGGCCCAGACUCCUACGGGAGGCAGCAGUAGGGAAUCUUCCGCAAUGGGCGAAAGCCUGACGGAGCAACGCCGCGUGAGUGAUGAAGGUCUUCGGAUCGUAAAACUCUGUUAUUAGGGAAGAACAUAUGUGUAAGUAACUGUGCACAUCUUGACGGUACCUAAUCAGAAAGCCACGGCUAACUACGUG
rnacentral:rRNA from 1 species